GCUCAACCGGGGAGGGUCAUUGGAAACUGGGGAACUUGAGUGCAGAAGAGGAGAGUGGAAUUCCGCGUGUAGCGGUGAAAUGCGUAGAGAUGUGGAGGAACACCAGUGGCGAAGGCGACUCUCUGGUCUGUAACUGACGCUGAGGCGCGAAAGCGUGGGGAGCGAACAGGAUUAGAUACCCUGGUAGUCCACGCCGUAAACGAUGAGUGCUAAGUGUUAGAGGGUUUCCGCCCUUUAGUGCUGCAGCAAACGCAUUAAGCACUCCGCCUGGGGAGUACGGUCGCAAGACUGAAACUCAAAGGAAUUGACGGGGGCCCGCACAAGCGGUGGAGCAUGUGGUUUAAUUCGAAGCAACGCGAAGAACCUUACCAGGUCUUGACAUCCUCUGACAACCCUAGAGAUAGGGCUUCCCCUUCGGGGGCAGAGUGACAGGUGGUGCAUGGUCGUCGUCAGCUCGUGUCGUGAGAUGUUGGGUUAAGUCCCGCAACGAGCGCAACCCUUGAUCUUAGUUGCCAGCAUUCAGUUGGGCACUCUAAGGUGACUGCCGGUGACAAACCGGAGGAAGGUGGGGAUGACGUCAAAUCAUCAUGCCCCUUAUGACCUGGGCUACACACGUGCUACAAUGGGCAGAACAAAG
rnacentral:rRNA from 1 species